GCCCGGGUGGCGAAACUGGUAGACGCGUGGGACUUAAAAUCCCUUGGCCUUUAAAACGGCCGUGCCGGUUCGAUUCCGGCCCCGGGCACUA
rnacentral:tRNA from 1 species